rnacentral:lncRNA from 1 species
AAUAGUGAAAUAGUGACUGGUGCAAAUGCACACACAAGUAAAACAAACAAGUAUAAUAAUAUUGUUUAUAUUUUAUAACAAAGAAAUAUAGGUAGAUUAAUAAUUAUAUAUAUAUACAUAAAAGUAAUUUUGCUGAAGCCCUUGUUAUUUUUCUAAGGAUACACUCCAUGGUAUUUAACAUUCUUGCACUGUGAGCAUUAAAGCUUCAUUCAACUUACAAUACAUAAGGAAUAUUUGACAUUUCAUAUGUAAAACAGCCAUCUACCAAUCAAUCCAUUUCAGUUUUUCUCCUAUGCUAAGUACAUACUGAAGAACAUUUCUGUAAAUAUGUUAUUUCAUUCUGUGAUUUGCUUUCCUGUCAAGAUCUCUUGUUCUCUCUUUAUCUUUAACCCAAUGCCACCGGGCAUGGCAUUUAUGUACAUGCCAUGUCCACUGAGUUUACUUUAUUAGUAGUUUUUAAACAUAGAUGGCUACACUUGUACUAAGUCACCCGUGAGCCAGUUACUAGUACUGCCUGUCUCACCUUACAUUAUCUUAUAUUGCUGUUACUUAUGUCUAGUAAUUAUAAUGUCUAUAAUACAAAUAGCACCAUAGAUAUCCAUAGCAUUAGUAAAAAUAAAAGUUUUUCCUGCCAAUUCAAGGAAAGGUCUAUGGAUUGAUUCCUUUGUGGCUUAGCACUUGCAGAACCACCUAUGUGCAGACAUUUCACAAAAAAAAAAAAAAAAAAAAAUGAGCACAGCAUUUACCCGGCAGCAUUUUGCUUUGGUUCUUUUCCGCGCUUUCCUUAGUUUGCCCUCUUUCUCUUAUUUUUCUUUCUUUCCUGCUUUUUAUCUUGACAUAUAGGUACUGUAUUUAUACAUAUGUAAGUAUUUGAGACAGUCAAAUACUUACACAUAUAUUAAUUGUUUGCUUUUAUUUUAAGUGAUAUUAACAGUAUGUAUUUGUUUUGUUUUUUGUGUUCAGAUUACGUUUGCAUUUAAAGACUGUUUGCUUUAGCUGUAAAGAAUAAGUUAGUUUUUAUAAAGUGUAAUAUAUAUAUGUUUGAUUACAUCUUGUACAUUUUAUUAUUUGUCUUCUAAACCUGCCCAAAGAGAAAGGUAUUGCUAAGUGAAUGCAGUAUUACUAGUUGGUCUAGUAUAUAUUUGUUUAUGUACUUAGUUUUGAAGUUGUAUUACAUACAUUCAACUCUUUUACCAGUUUCCAGUGGAAUUCAGUUUAUCAUUAGGGUUAAAUGUAUUUUAUUAAGUUACACUUUUCAUUUUUUUUGUUUUUAUAAGAAAAAAAUUAAUAUUUAUCUGGUAAUUUUUUAAAUGAUACAUUGUUCCUAGAUUUUAAUAUCUUAAGUGAUAAAAGUUUUUGUCAUCAGCAGAUAUUGGUUAUAACAAUGCAGAAUUAGUACUUGCACAAAAUUAGAAUCUGAAAAAGGCACAAAUUCAAAGGUCAUAUAUGUUAUUGUCUUUACCACUUAGAGCUCAAAUUUGAUAGCUUUAGUUGAAUUUGGCAUUCCAUAGAUCAGAGAUCUGCUUUUAGAAGUCAGUGUGCUGUGUGGUACAGUGGUAGCGGUUUCAUCUAGCAUUAUUGCUGAUCCGCGUUCAAUUCCCGCAUGCUGCCAGUGGAUGGUAACCCCAGCCAUUCCUUGCACCCGGGGUAAUUUAUAAGGAAAAUGAAACAGACAGGCCCUGGCGCCCAUGGACCCAUCAGCUACUAUUAAUCUUUAUAUGUUGCAUAGAUAUCAAAUGGCCUUGGUUGAUUUGACACAAUUCAAAUUCUGCCAAACCUGUCACACACCAGUAAUAAACAUUGUAACGAAUGGAAUAUAAUUAAAUUAUUAAUUUGAUUAUUUCAAAAUGGUACUGUACUUGUAGCAACUGAAUGAUUUUAAGUAGGUACUUAUGGAUCAGUGAAGUCUUUACAGUACAAAAGAGAGGAAAACUUUGGGGUUGUAAACCACAUAUUAUUGGUUUAGCAUAAGCGUGAAGUCAUAUACAUUUAGGUGUACCCAAUGCCUCUACUUUUGUUCAAAUAGAAAGGUUCAGCAAAAAGUUUACCAAAAUUUUAAAACAUUUUAAGUUCCAGCAUUACUCCAAGAGGAAGAUUUUUUAAAAUUACAACAUAUCAAAUCUGUUAUCCAGUGUAAUAUGCCAAUGAAAGGGAUGCUGUUAUCUGCAAUAUAAAUAUAUAUUACUUUAAUAAAGAAAGUAUAAAAACUUUUUAACCAUUUCUUCUCCCCAUUUUUCCAGGCUCACCAUGGCCAAUAGUGAAAAUAUUAUACUCUUAUUAGGGGUAUUAAGACUUGCCCCUCUUCAACUACCCUAUCUAAAUUUGAUUUCAAUGGUUUCCGAACCCCUGCUUCUCCUUUGACCACUGAUACUAAUACCCCCUCCUCAGUGUUUGCUGUCAACCAUCCAUCAUGAAUCAUCCACCCAGGUCACUACUCAACCUUCAGAAUACACCCCUUCCUCUCUCCCAAUAACCUCACCUGAACUAAUUUUGCAGGGUCCCACACUUUCUGCUUUGACAACCUGUUCUUCCUCAGAUGCAUACAUAUCCUUCACUUGAUGUAAUACCCAUUACUUAACCCAUUCACUCAUCUCCUUUACCCAUCUUUAAACUUUUCAGUACUACUAUAGAAUGUUGACAUAUAGCAACUAACUACUAACUCAACCCCCUUCACUAUCCUUUACUAUACCUUCUUAUAGUGCUACAUGGCCUUAGAUGUCUAGCACAUUUAUUUUGCUUUUAACCAUUUACUGUUACCCCCAAUCCCCUUAUUACUAUUCUUCAUCCUUAUUGUCCUCUUCCUAACAGUACUCCCUCUCUCCAUACCACACCACUUCCUCCCGACCUUAUCCUACUGCUUCCAAAUAUGAAGUAUCCUUCUCUUCCAACAAUGUCUACAAAAACAAGGAGGCAAAGUUUCUUUACACAGUCAUUCUGAUCAUUCACACCUUUGUCACAAUUAAAUCCGAGUCCCAGGUUCGUUCAUUAUCUACCCUGACUGGUAAACCUGUUUCUACCCUGCCUCACUCCUUAAUACUUGUACUGGAACUGUUUCCAUCUCCCCGACUGAUUGUCCUGUCUACAACAAAGGCUGGUCAAGAAUAUGAAAACAACUUAUUUGCAUGCCUUGUCAACUAUGGUGUAGUAACAGUCCAGUACUAUACUAUUCCUCCCAGAGGCCAACCUAAGUCCUACAUAAUAUUAACAAGAUUACCUUCUGUAGACAUGACCUCCCCCAUGAAGUUUAUGUUGGUGGAGUGUCCUGCCUUGUCUGACCAUAACGACCCCUUCCCCGUCAGUGUCAGAAGUUUUAGCAUUUUAACCACCCAGCCAAACACUCGCUCCACAGCCUGCUGCCCUCUAUGUGCCCAACCUGGUCAUGACCGUUCAAAUUGCUCUGCUCAGUCACACACAUGUGCCAUUCAUGAUGGCUCCCAUAAUGUAUUUUAAAGGGGCUAACCUGCCUACAAGCUCAAAUGUGAGGUAACCAUCCUCAGAUUCAAACUAGGCCUCACUCUACGUGAAGCCAGACAAGAAGCAUGUCGACAAGGUUAUCCUCUUUUUUUACCUAUUCCAAAACUGUACUUUGCUCUGCUCCCCUCCCAUCUUCUCAAGAAGUCUCAUCAUCUCCCCCAGUAUUUCCUCCCAUUACCCCAAACCAUCCUAUCUCUACUCCAUCUUUCCCUGUCAAAUUCCUUUUCCUUCCCUGUCAAAUUCCUUUUCCAAUCUAAAUCUACUACUUCCCUGGUGCCUACUGCUCCUCCUCACUCUACCUAUCAUACCAGACAAACUAAACAUUCCACCCCAUCUUAUCUUCUACCACAUCUUCUCCUACAGCUACCUCUCCCUCUGCUCUUCAGACAUCUAUUCCCUCUUCUCCUCCACAUAAGAAAACCUUUGUUUAUCAGGCUUCCCCACCUAACUCCUAUCCAGAAACUCUUGAACACAUCCAAAACUUCCUAAACAUGACCAAGAGAAUGGUCCACUCCUUCAUACACCCUCUAUUUCUAUUUGCUCUACAUUCAAAGUAUUUGUCAAUAUCCAUCCUCCUCCUCCUCCUCCUCCUCAAGUUCCUCCUACCCCUCUUCCUCCCACUCUCCCAAAACACACCCCAUCCUCUCCUCCUCCAUGUGCAUGACCAUUCCCUCUUUCUUUCCCAUUACCACUACCACCCAGAUGCUCACAUGACUCCUUUAUGUCACAACAAUGUACUUCUCCAGAUACUUCACCACCUUCCCACUCCCAAAUCUCAUUCACUGGAUUAUUCUCCUACAUCUAUCACUACCAUGUCUAACCAUUGCCCUUUGAUUGUUUCAUAAUGGCUCUGUAGUUUUCCUCAUACAGUGUUACCCUUCCUUCCACACACACACUCCAUUUGAUCUGAUCACCCUGUACCCUUAACCCCUUCUUUUACAAAUCCUCAUCACAUUCCAUUUGCUCCUCCUCUAUACCCUUUUCACUACCAUUCUAUCCUCCAGCAUUCCACAACCUUUGACAUCUAACAUCUUGUCCUAAGUUUUAACUCCUUUCCACCCUUUUCGCCACAUUAAUGUAUUGAAAAUUUUCUGCCGCAUCAAUAUCAAAACUUAUGCUAUUAUGACCUUUGAUGGCCAGCACAUUAAGUAAGAAUUUAAUUACCACUGGCUCGGCAAGCUUGUUUUUACUUUGUUUAUAGGUUGGAAAAUAAUAUUGGGGACUAUUUUGUAUUUUAUUGCUUUGUAUGGUUCAGACCAUCACAUUUCUAGCCAUGGUUAUUAUCCAUAACAGACUUUAGGAAAUCACAACAGCCUACAUGAAAACAAACUCAGAGAAAAGCUUUUCUACCACUGGGUGUCUACUUGUCUCUUGUUGAGUAAUCUCUAGCACUUACUUUGUUUAAUUUCCAUUUGCUUAACUCUAGGUUAUGUAUGAAUAUUUCAAAUCGAGAUGGUAACCAAUGUGAACAAACACCAGCCAAAAACUCCUAAAUCCUAAACAUAGGACAAGUAUUUGGUUGGUAUUUGUCAAUGAGACUGCUUCAAGAAACAUAACUGGUCUGUGAAAUGGUUCAGAGAAUAAUGCUGCUGAGAGUAAGAUCUAUGAAAUGGUUCAGAAUGCUGGUGAGAGUGAGGUAAGCUGUAACAGCAGCUUUUACUUAGUGGAUACCGAAUCAGUUUUACAAGCAAAUUUAAAGUUGUGUGGAUCAUUUCUAGAUUUAUGAACUUUAUCAUCUCAUGCAAUUGCACUUUAUGAAUAAAAUAAUUAUCUUUAAAAUGGUAUUAGAUAUUAUAUUCAAUCAUUUUUUUAGAACCCUUGCAUUUUCACUUUGGUAACCUAGGGUAUGGCAAAACGGGUAAAUAUGAGUUAAUGAUUUGGACAGAAGAAGGGGAUGAGGAAGAGGAGAAGAAAAGCCCCUGCAAAAUUAGUUGAGGCAAGGGCUGAGGUCCAAGGUAGGAGUGAUCCCUAAAUCAGGCCCCAGUCCCCACCUCCUAAACCCCCCCCAUGGCAAUGAGUAGCAAGGGAUGGGGGGGAGGAGGGAGAAACCCUUUAGUAGGAAUCAAACUGGAGACAGCAGUUUCAGGGCUGUAACGUGGGAAGAAAGCCAGGGGAAUACAUUCACUGUGAUCUAUUUGAAACCUCAGAAGCAUUCCAGUGAAAUAUAUUAGUUUGAUUUUAGAUCCAUAUAAAGUUUGAAAUAAGUUUUCUACUGCAAUGUCUAAUCUCAAUUUUCUUGUUUCAGAUACAAACUAUACAAAGAUUUUGAAUCAGUGCAAGAAAUUUUUGUAUGAGAAUAGUUCAUGUUAACCAUAUUUUUUGUUUUGUUUUGUUUUGCAAGUGUGCAUAUUUAUCUAAUUUAACAUGUAACUUCUUAACCCCUUACUGACGGAUAAAGAAAAAAAAAAAAAAUUAUGCUCUGGAGAUUAAUGGCAAUGAGCCGACUUUGAGCGCAUGAGUUCACUACAUCAAGCCGAACCUCCGGCUCAUAGCACUUUGGCAUGUUGCUGUGGCGUGCAGCCACACUCCACAGAUCAAGUUUGCUAUGACGCUUCAGCGCGGCCUGUCAGUAUGGGGUUAAAAUGAUACACAUCUUAAUCCAGUGCGACUCUUCUUGUAUCACAUUUAGACACAUAAUCAUGCUAUCCCUUUUCCCUUCCUUCUUCCAAAGUUCUAUUCUCCUCAGCCUAUCUUUGUAGUUCAUAUUAAACAUAAUUGCUGCCAAGACUGAUGCUUGAGGUACUCCACUAGCUCCCCAUUUCCAAGUAGGGUACUUCCCUCUAAUUGUGGUGCUCAUCUCUUUCCUGGAGGAAGUCUUUCAUUCAUCCAAGGAAUUCACCUUUCACUCCACCUAGGUGUUCUAAUUUCGAAGUCUAAAGUGGGACAACAAGAGUGAAGAGUAAUGUGGGAAGAAUGGAUAGAAAAUGAAGAAGACUGUGCAGGAAGAGACUUAUUUGGAGGAUGUUGGGGAGAGAUGUGUAUUCUGAGGGUAAGUAAUGGCAUGGGUGGAUAAUUCUGAACAGAUCAAGGUGACAGCAAGCAGUAAGGAAGAUGUACAAGUAGCAUUGGUUGGAGUGGUAAUCAAAGGAGAAUGGAUGGUCGGAAAACCAGGCAAGUUAAUUUGAGAGAGGCCUCAAUGCCCCUAAUAAGGAAAGUCUUUAUUAUUGGCCAUGGUUAGCUUGAAAUAUGUGGGAAAGAUAAAUGGUUUACCCUCAAGAUCCCUACAAGUGGUAUUGGCUAGAUGAUAUACCAAGGAAAUAAGUCUAUGGCUCCUCAAGGCCUUUCAGUAUUGACAAUGCCAGUUUUUCAUCUUUUCAGCAUGGCUCUUAAACCUUAGGGAGUGGAAAGAAGAGGCUGGAGAAGAAAAGAUUAUGCUAAAUUUAUUGAGCUGAGGGCUGAGCCCCAGGGAAGGAGCAAUCCCCAACAUUGGGCUGCAGCCCCUGCAACCCCCCCUCCACACACACACACACAAUAAUGGGUAUAGGAUUGGAGGGAGGAUUGAAUUUGAAAUGUUAACUGUAAAGAUGUAAACAUUUGUUCAUCACAGUCCCUAUGAACCCAGUUAUGAGAUUCAUCUAGUUUAUCUGGUUUAAUCAUUUAGUAGGUCUUUUAUUUCAGUACUUGAGUGCAAGGUUUCUAACAUUUUGAUUGUAAGAUCUCAAACAAACACAAAGUGUCUUAAGAUCAUGUACACAUUCACCUCCUUAGUAUAAUCAAUGUUAUCUCUGAUAGUAAUUUGAACUCUACUUUCAGUCUUACUAUUUACAUCUUUAAAGUACCUUGGUUGAUUUGCACAUUUUUCAAUUAUAUCAUUUUCUAAGUCAAUCUUUGCCUCAUUCCUGGCCUCUAUUCCUACUUUAUAACUUUUACCUAUUAUAUGAGAUCUGACUUCUGGACCUAUAAAUAGGAGCUCCUUACUUUCUCAUUUCCUUGUUUUUCACUGAAGCACUUUUGGGCACUUGCUUCAGUUUUGAAUUUUGGUACAACUCUGUCUUGUAGGUUUUACAAGACUGAGUACUGAACAUCAAAGUUCUCUUCAUCCCAGCUUGUUACAUGUAAACAUCAAUUCUUUUGUAACAAUAUUGUAAGGUUUAGUGGAAAUUAAACCAUGAACUGAAUUUUGUCUUUUUAUUUUUUCAAGUUGGAAAAAAAUGUACAUCUCUUGAACUAGCUACUCUACAACUAAAGCCCUAAAAUAUUUGAUUUCUAUUACCAGUGAUCUCAACUGAAUACGCGAAAUAUAAAGAAGAAAAUGUAUGAACUUUUACUUUUCCUCUAAAGCUGACUUAAAUCAAACAAAUUACAAAUGAAGGACUUAAAAUUCUACAUACUAGCUGUUGCAGUUGUCGGAAAUUAUUGAUCAUACUAUUUCUAGAAUAGUUUACGAAGAACAUGUUUCAACAGGAACUUACUAUCUUCGAAAAUAAUACACUUUAUGCCAAUAUAUGAUAUAUGCCAAUGUCCAAUGUUCUGUGAAGCACAGUUCAACCACUGGUACUUUAUUUGAUAUUUGAUAUUCGACAUUUGACAUUUUUAUACUCCCACAUAUAGUACUUGAAGCUACCAAUUGGAUUUUUAAUUUUCUUAAACCAAACUUGCGUGAUCAAUCUCUAAAGAGUAUCAUUAUUACCACCCCAUUAAUACAUUUUUGAAGUGACCCUCUUUCACUGAGACUAGUAGUGUGUUUGAGGAGCUAAGUACAAAGCACAAGCUAAACUGGAUUCUAUAAUAAACUAACUGCACUAACUUUCAUCUGCCUACACCUAAACUACUAAAAACAAAAAUAGCAACACCCACCAUUGGCAAUCAUUUCUGCUCUCACUCACCUGCUUCGAUCCAGUGCUUACCUGAAAUGACACACAAGAAUUAGUGUUGAGUCCCUUCAUAUACUAACAACAGCAACUUACUGAGAAUAUUGGCAUGAUAAAAAAUUAUUUGAGGAAUCAUUCUCCAUAAAAUAAAAUCACACAUUUAGCAUCUAAAAGUGUUUGGACAUUGUAAAAGCUUGGUGAAUUUGUAAAACAUCUGGAUGAAAGCUGUGCAAGAUUACAAACCUUCACUUGUUGGAAGUUCACUAACAAAUGAAUUAAUAACCAUGAGGAGCAUGGGUCAUAUUGCAAAGAUACAAAGGGUAAAAUUAUAACAAGAUGUAUAAUACUCAUUUCUAAGCAAGCACUGAGUGAAUAAAUGACCCAAAGUAAUUA